CCCUUAGAUGUUCUGGGCCGCACGCGUGCUACACUAAGUAAUUCAAUGGGUAAGGGAACGCUAGAGCAUUACCUAAUCUUGAAAUUUGCUCGUGAUGGGGAUCGACGGUUGCAAUUUUCCGUCGUGAACGAGGAAUACCUUGUAGGCGCAUGUCAUCAUCAUGCGCCGAAUACGUCCCUGCCCUUUGUACACACCGCCCGUCGCUCCUACCGAUUGAGUGAUCCGGUGAGGCUCUGGGACCUGGACGGAAAGAGCGUUUCGCUUGUUCUGUUUGGGAAACUUGGUCGAACCUUAUCAUUUAGAGGAAGGAGAAGUCGUAACA
rnacentral:rRNA from 1 species